rnacentral:ribozyme from 12 species
AGAGCAAGCAGGCGAGCAAGGACAGGGCGGAGCUCGACGCAAAGUGCGUCAGAAAGUACGGCGGCCACUCCGAGUUCGACGGGCAGGGGGGGUGCAGGUGCAUGGCGGGGUACGUGGCCAGGCAGAAGCGCUGCGUGGCCCGGGAUCCCGGGGGCCCCGGUGGGUUGAAAGCCCCCCCUUCGCAGGGGUAGGAAGGUCAUCG